rnacentral:rRNA from 1 species
UACAGAGGUCUCAAGCGUUGUUCGGAUUCAUUGGGCGUAAAGCGCACGCAGGCGGUGCUGCGCGUUUGGGGUUACAGCUCCCGGCUCAACCGGGAGAGCGCCUCGAAGACGGCAGCACUUGAGGGCCAGAGAGGGACACGGAACUCCGGGUGGAGUGGUGAAAUGCGUAGAUAUCCGGAAGAACACCAAAGGCGAAGGCAGUGUCCUGGCUGGUACCUGACGCUCAGGUGCGAAAGCUAGGGGAGCGAACGGG